UACAGGGGGGGGCAAGCGUUGUUCGGAAUUACUGGGCGUAAAGGGCUCGUAGGUGGCCAACUAAGUCAGACGUGAAAUCCCUCGGCUUAACCGGGGAACUGCAUCUGAUACUGGAUGGCUUGAGAUUGGGAGAGGGAUGCGGAAUUCCAGGUGUAGCGGUGAAAUGCGUAGAUAUCUGGAGGAACACCGGUGGCGAAGGCGGCAUCCUGGACCAACACUGACGCUGAGGAGCGAAAGCCAGGGGAGCAAACGGG
rnacentral:rRNA from 1 species